GGAGCAGGCCGGGCCGUCGCGGCGCCACUGACGCCGAGGAAAGUCCGGGCUCCGCAGGGCAGGGUGCUGGGUAACACCCAGCGGGGGCGACCCCAGGGACAGUGCCACAGAAAGAAUACCGCCAGCCGGGAAACCGGCCGGCAAGGGUGCAACGGCGGGGUAAGAGCCCGCCGGCGGCCCGGCGACGGGUCGGCCAGGCAAACCCCACCCGGAGCAAGGCCAGAUAGGGGGAGAUGAGGUGGCCCGCCGAUCCCCGGGUAGGCUGCUCGAGGCCGCGG
rnacentral:RNase_P_RNA from 1 species